GAUUCUGGCUCAGAAUCAACGCUGGCGGCGUGCCUAACACAUGCAAGUCGAACGAGAAAGUGGAGCAAUCCAUGAGUAAAGUGGCGACCGGGUGAGUAACACGUGACUAACCUACCCUACAGUGGGGGAUAACUCCGGGAAACCGGGGCUAAUACCGCAUAACACCGAGAGGUCAAAGGAGCAAUUCGCUGAAGGAGGGGGUCGCGGCUGAUUAGCUAGUUGGUGAGGUAACGGCUCACCAAGGCAAUGAUCAGUAGCCGGCCUGAGAGGGCGCACGGCCACACUGGAACUGAAACACGGUCCAGACUCCUACGGGAGGCAGCAGUGGGGAAUUUUGCGCAAUGGGGGAAACCCUGACGCAAGCAACGCCGCGUGGAGGAUGAAGUCCCUUGGGAUGUAAACUCCUUUCGAUCGGGACGAUUAUGACGGUACCGGAAGAAGAAGCACCGGCUAACUCUGUGCCAGCAGCUGC
rnacentral:rRNA from 1 species